AUUGAACGCUGGCGGCAGGCCUAACACAUGCAAGUCGAGCGUGCGGCGGACGGGUGAGUAAUGUAUGGGGACUGCCCGAUAGAGGGGGAUAACUACUGGAAACGGUAGCUAAUACCGCAUACUAUCGGAUAACCCAGAUGGGAUUAGCUAGUAGGUGAGGUAAUGGCGACCCUAGGCGACGAUCCCUAGCUGGUCUGAAAGGUGGAUCAGCCAAACUGGGACGGAGACACGGCCCAGACUCCUACGGAGGCAGCAGUGGGGAAUAUUGCACAAUGGGCGCAAGUCUGAUGCAGCCAUGCCGCGUGUAUGAAGAAGGCCCUAGGGUUGUAAAGUACUUUCAGUCGGGAGGCGUUACCGACAGAAGAAGCACCGGCUAACUCCGUGCCAGCCGCCGCGGUAAUAC
rnacentral:rRNA from 1 species